rnacentral:rRNA from 1 species
UACGGAGGGUGCAAGCGUUAUCCGGAUUCACUGGGUUUAAAGGGUGCGUAGGUGGGUUGGUAAGUCAGUGGUGAAAUCCCCGAGCUUAACUUGGGAACUGCCAUUGAUACUAUCAGUCUUGAAUACCGUGGAGGUCAGUGGAAUAUGUCAUGUAGCGGUGAAAUGCUUAGAUAUGACAUAGAACACCAAUUGCGAAGGCAGCUGGCCACACGAAUAUUGACACUGAGGCACGAAAGCGUGGGGAUCAAACAGG